AUUAAUGGGGGCAGCGAAGGAUCUACUGUACAAAAGAAAAGAGGUCGAGGAAAGGCUAAGGGUGUUUAUCUAGGUCAUAACCACAAGUGUGAGAUACAUGACAGAAGAUUCAUAGAAAAGAAAAUACCCCAAGAGAUUACUAUUAAGUUCCACCAAAACAUUACUGGGCCAUGGACAACUUUUUCAAAAUACCCUAAAGAACAACUAAAUAUGCUUUAUGAGUUAUACAAAGAAGCACAAUUUGAGACAGAUGACUUAGUUCUUGAGAGGUAGGUAUUUGAUGAGCAUGUCAAACGACGCUAUCCUGAUUGGAUGUGGCACCUUAGAGAAGAAUGUGUAACAAAUAAAAUUCCCCAAGAUGAAUGGUACAAGCAUCCCCCAGAUGAUGUAACUCCAACUAUUUGGAAAGAGAUGUGCAACAAAUGGAAUAAUCGCAAGUGAAAGGAAAAGAGUGAUAGAAACAAAAGAAAUCGCAGAAGGAGAUCAAAAUAUUACAGACCAAUGCUGGAGAAGGAAAUCAAAAUGUGGAUGAAAACAUAGAAGAUGACUCUGAGGAGGAAGAUGACUAAGAUGGCUCUCAAAAGGAUAAUACUGACUCAGAUGAUGAUUGAUCUUCCAAUAUUUAUGUUUUCAAGUUAUGUGAAGGAUAUUAUAGCUUUCAUGUAGACGUUUUAAUUAAUAUUUUUUAUUCUAUUUUAUAGAUGUUUUAAUAUUUUUUUUAUUGCAUUAUGCACUUUCUAGAUUUGGACAAUUAUGGA